rnacentral:rRNA from 1 species
GGAAUAUUGGACAAUGGGGGGAACCCUGAUCCAGCGACGCCGCGUGAGUGAAGAAGUAUUUCGGUAUGUAAAGCUCUAUCAGCAGGGAAGAAAGAAAUGACGGUACCUGACUAAGAAGCCCCGGCUAACUACGUGCCAGCAGCCGCGGUAAUACGUAGGGGGCAAGCGUUAUCCGGAUUUACUGGGUGUAAAGGGAGCGUAGGCGGUGCGCCAAGCUGGGUGUGAAAGGCCGGGGCUCAACCCCGGGACUGCACUCGGAACUGGCGUGCUAGAGUGUUGGAGAGGUAAGCGGAAUUCCUAGUGUAGCGGUGAAAUGCGUAGAUAUUAGGAGGAACACCAGUGGCGAAGGCGGCUUACUGGACUGUAACUGACGUUGAGGCUCGAAAGCGUGGGGAGCAAAC